rnacentral:rRNA from 1 species
UACGUAGGGUGCGAGCGUUGUCCGGAAUUACUGGGCGUAAAGAGCUCGUAGGUGGUUUGUCGCGUUGUUCGUGAAAACUCACAACUCAAUUGUGGGCGUGCGGGCGAUACGGGCUGACUAGAGUUCGGCAGGGGAGACUGGAAUUCCUGGUGUAGCGGUGAAAUGCGCAGAUAUCAGGAGGAACACCGGUGGCGAAGGCGGGUCUCUGGGCCGAUACUGACGCUGAGGAGCGAAAGCGUGGGGAGCGAACAGG